UGGGGAAUAUUGCACAAUGGGCGAAAGCCUGAUGCAGCGACGCCGCGUGAGGGAUGACGGCCUUCGGGUUGUAAACCUCUUUCAGCAGGGAAGAAGCGAAAGUGACGGUACCUGCAGAAGAAGCGCCGCUCCUUCUUCACACACGCGGCAUGGCUGGAUCAGGGUUCCCCCCAUUGUCCAAUAUUCCCCA
rnacentral:rRNA from 1 species